CCCUGUAUCUUAUCACUAAUGUGGAACUGGCUGUUUGUCCAAACCCUGCUCUGUCUACAUAAAGACUUGGAACGGGACAGCAUCAAACCCAAAUGCACCACAUAUCACGUCGUGAACCUGCAGCUCCGGGGACGCACGACUGGACUUUUAACUGUUUGGAAAGACUUGGAGAGACAAAAAGAUACGCUGGUGCCAGAGAGAAGGAGAGUAGCUGGGAGAAGCAGGAGAUGAAUGAAUGAAUCCUGGAGAGAGGAGCCACUUUAAGGUCGUCCAUCCACCAAUCUGCAUUAACAACCUCUCCAUGUGCAGCGUGGACUGUAGAUGUUGUCCUCCAGAGCUGUGGAGUGUGACAAUGGUGUUUGUGUCCUGUGUAUCAAACGCCAUUAUCACACUAAAUAGCUACAGUGUGAAACGGACCUCAAUAUAUUCUUCAGUUUCCUGGUUUUGCGGCUUCUGUUUUAUCUUUUUUGUAGAUGUGCAAUAGUUUCCUCAUUCAUUCUGUAAAGCAUUAACAUCACAUUGGGGACAUAUUACAACCAUGCAAGGAGUGGCAGAGAUGAAAAUAGCUGUGUGUUGUUGAUACAUUGUACAUGAUCUUGAGCCUUAUUGAGUGUGACCCACGUGCUUUUGCAUUUGAGGUGCUAAUUUGCUUUUGGAGACCUACUAAAAAUAGACCGCCCGUUUGUUUUCAUGCUGCUGCCAUUUCUCGUGUCGUCAUCAUUCGAAUUCUUUCCAACAUGCAAACAGGUCACCUCAUUUAAACAAUUGUCUUCAUCCAUGCAAACAAAUGUAAAUAAAUUGUUUUUGUCUGUUGCCAUAGAGUGAACUUUAACCGUUAAUUUCAUACUUAAACACAACUCUAUAAUUUCA